AUCACCUCUCAGUAUCCUGCCAAAGAUAAGUCUAGAAUCCGUGUGUAUCAGUUUAACAUGUGAUAAUCCUCAGCCCAAGGACAAUAUAUUAAGUGGAUUUUGGAAGCAGGGAGAUGGGACAGGAGCUCGCCUCAACCUCUCCACACAUCACCCUGACACAGCACAUCUUCAGGGGACUUACAAAAA
ensembl:snRNA U2 U2 spliceosomal RNA